UAAACGGCCCUUUUCAGGGCCCCCGUAUUUUUCAAACGGAGCUGUGU
rfam:Ixodes scapularis strain Wikel colony gcontig_1108378625870, whole genome shotgun sequence.